rnacentral:lncRNA from 1 species
GGCGCGGAGCCGCGCGGAGUGACAAAGCCGCCGCUGCCGCCGCCGGGGGUGGGAGCCGCGCUCGCCCGCCCGCCCCUCGACUCGCGAGGGCGUAAAAGUUUGUCUCAGCUCGAGCAUUCCUAGCGCCAACACGCCCUCAGGUAAAGGUGGAAGUAAAUGGCCACGCUGUAUUGACAGAGCAGGUAGAUGAAACUCAAGAGAAAAGGUGUGGAUAAAUGAAACUAGCCCAUGAUGAACCUGUUUUCUCCGUGACCACAAUAUUAACCAGGAUGAAUGGCGGUGGCAGUGGGCCUGCAUCACAGGUUGCAGCAGAUGUUCUCAAUAUUUCUAUUAAAAUUUCCUUAUUUCCAUAUGCAAGAGGAGCCCCAGAGCUGCAUCCUUAUGGUAGCUACCAUGCCGUGAUGUAAGCUGCCAUUCACUGGGGAGCUUUGGCAAUAGAAUUGGCUAGAUCAGGAAGCCUAUGUCAACUAUGGAACAACAACUUGCAGCUCAUCUCUAUUGAUGAUACACUGCCUCUAGGACUGGGACAGAUAGCCACUGAGUACCUGCUUCAAAUCACCCUGCACGUUUUCUCUUUGGAAAGAUAAGCACUGGAGAACCAUCUCGUUACCUUCAGCAGAAAUGGAAACAAAUCAAGACAUUAAGAAUGCCGCAGUGGACAGCAGUUAUGCAAGGUUCAGCAGAGGAAGUUUUCAAGAUGGUGUGCCUCACUAGCCAGAAAUCAGAAAAGAUCGAAGCUAGCCUUUUCAUCUCAGCUGCUCCUUAAAUCAGUGCAACCCCUCCAAAUUAAUGUGAAUUGAAACUUGCAUUGCUUUUCAACUUAAUUGAAUACUUACUAUAUGUGAACCACUGCACAAAAUAGGGGAAGAAGAUGUGGGAGACAAAGAUGUGGAGCCUGUCUUCAAUAAAUUUACAGUUAGUUUCAGGGUACAUUGUUUUUCUUCUGCUGUUAAUUAGGUGUAUCCCCAAGACAAUAAAUACAUGAAUGGAAAAGUAUAUUCUGUGUUUUAAGUCUCUUUAAUAAAAAACAAAACAAAAUCCAAAAAAACUCCUAACAUGGCAACUCAGGACAUUUUAAUCCUUUUUUUUGUUGUUGGGCUUCUGAUAGGAUCCAUUUUAUUGAUUCCAUAAAUAUUUAGUAGACUUUAGACAUAUUAAUACAUUGUAGUUUGAGUUAAUUUGCAUUAAAUUCUGUUUUUUUCCCCUUAGGUAUAGAUUGUCUGUUGGAAAAAUAUAUUGCUUGUGGAUUUCUUGGGGAGUGGGAAGGUGAAUUAUACCUGUUGUCUCUACAGUCCACUACCUUCCACACCCUAGGGCAGUGGUCCCCAACCUUCUUGGCACCAGGGAUCAGUUUCCUGGAAGACAAUUUUUCUGUGGAUGGUGUGGGGAUGGUUUUGGGAUGGAACUGUUCCACCUCAGAUCAUCAGGCAUUAGUUAGGCUCUCAUAACGAGUGCGCAGCCUAGAUCCCUCACAUGCACAGUUCACAGUAGGGUUUGCGCUGCUAUGAGAAUCUAAGGCUGCCACUGAUCUGACAGGAGGCAGAACUCAGGUGGCAAUGCUUACUGGCCCACUGCUCACCUCUUGCUGUGCGGCCUGGUUCCUAAUAGGCCAUGGACCCCCACAGACGGGUACUAGUCUGCAGCCUGUGGACCCCAGCCCUAGGGGCCUGCCAUUCUGAGUGAGUUAUUAGCAUGAAGAAGAGGAAGAUCUGGAUCAAACGUGGGUGAUGGUACUCAGAGACCCAAGAUAGGAUAGGGAUGGAACAAAAUCCAUCUGGGCAACGGCUCUAUGAAAAUUUGGCUAAGUAAUUAUUUCAGUAUUCAUUGUAUUCAUUGUCCUUCGUGUUCCAUAAGUUAAAUGACUGUCUAAUUUUUCCAAAAAUUUAUUUCUGACUUGAGAAUAAGUGUGUCAUGAUUUUCCCAGUGUAAAGACACUGAUAUAACUGUAGAUACCAGACAUUUUAUGUAGUGUCUAUGACACAUUUUAGUAUGUAUGAGCCAACAAUAGACAUGUCUUUGUCUUGAGGAGUGUCCAUCUGAAUUGAAAAUGUGUCAGCUUUUUUUUAACAUCAUCAACAGACUUCUUAAUUAAGCUGCCAAUACAUACUGCCAAUAGCACUGUGUGCUGUCUGAGAAAUGCAUUGUGUAAGUGCUAUUUCCAUCUUAUUAAAUAAACAAUGUUGCUCUGUAUAAACUGGAUUUAAAGUGUUCUUUGAAUGAGGCAUUAUAUUGCUCCAUAAAUAAUGUGAUGUGAAUUCUCAUAUGAUCCCUUUUAACUUAAUUUCUAAAAAAAUAUUAUUUGCUCCUCAGUAAGGAAUAGCUCUAAUUGGACUGGUAACUUUAGUGAUAUGAUUUGUCUGUAACAGGCUGAAUCGCCCCACUCCCAAACUCCUGGUCGUGAUACUGGAUAUUUGUUAUGCCACUUUUAGUUUGCAUGAGGUAUCUUCCAGGAAGUAUUAGUUAUUAACUUGUGUUCUACUAAACUGUAGAUAUUUAUUUCCUGUUCUGGAAGAUUUCUUGGAGUGUCCAUCUGUGCAUUCCUGGUGCCUAGUGUAGUCUUGCUAAUGGAAUAGCACCUUUAUUGGUGCUACUUAGGGGUUGGUAGCUUACAAUCAAUCUACUUGGAACGUAUCCAAAUAAACUGGAUAUUUUUAUACA